rnacentral:lncRNA from 10 species
AUAUUCUUAGUUGGGGAGCUGCCUCCAAGACUGGAAUACAGCAUGGUGCAGAUUAAGAUGGUUUUGCCAAAGAAAGGAGGCUGGAUAAUGGUGAGCAAAAAUGAGCAUAUGUCCACUGCAGAUCACAUAUUUGUCAGAUGUGAAACCUAAUGUUAUAUGUUCUUUAGCUAGGUCUGUUGUCGUCUGGAUGAUUAUAGCACAAGUGAAACAGAAGACUAAGAGAUUUGAAGGCGUUAAUGCUGGAAAUAGUGAUGGAUAGUCACUAUAUUUCUGAGCUAGGGAAGAAAAUGAGGCCAGAAGAUAAUUUGGAAACCAGGAGAACUGAGACAAGGGACAAGGUGUCACCAUGUUGCCCAGGCUGGUCUUGAACUCCUGGGAUCAAGGAAUCCUCCUGCCUCAGCCUCCCAAAGUGCUAGAAUUAGAGACGUGAGGCACCACACCACCUACCUUUAUAUUUAAGCAACAGUUUGACUGCAUACAAAAUUCCUGGGUCACAUCUCUUUGCUGGAGGAUUUUAUUGUGAUUGCCUUCUUGUGUGUUUGGUAAUCCAGUUUGUGAGUUGAUGGCUUCAUCAUAAUCUGUGGGAGUCCUCUGUACCAAACUUGGAAAGUUCUCCUCCAGACAAGGUCGGUUUUCAUUCCUGUCUGUAAUGUUGAGGCUUAGAAACCAAUUCCCCAAAAUAUGGCAUGUUUACAUCCUGAACUAAGAAGACUCAAGGUCUCUCUGAUCUACCCACCCCUCACCAGCUCUUCCAAAGAGGCUCAAGUUCCUUUACCUGCCUAAGCUCCAGACCCACCAAGGAGAACAAUAGUUUUCUUCCCUUCCCUGGGAAACCUGCCCAAUUGUCCUGUAGAGGUGAUGUUUAUGGUUCUUUUUAAUAAACAUAGAAAUUUAUCCUCCUGGUCUUAAAACUUGAGAAAAUUACAUCUGUCUUAUCUGAGUUGCUUUCUCAGAAAAGAAACCAUCAGUCCUCCCAGACAGUAUCAAGGAGCUGAAACUUACCAGAUCAUCACAUCUGGACAAAGGGAGCCAGACGCCUCACCAAUCAUGACUGCCUGCUUCCUGUUGACCCCUUUCUCUUCCUUACCCCUCCCUAAAAUUCCCGUUUUUCCACACAUAGUUACAUUUCUUCCCUGCUAUACAAAUCCCAAAUUUUAGACAGUCAGGGAGUUGGAUUUGGGACUGAUCUCCCAUCUCCUCUGCUGCAGCACUGGAUUACAGCCUUCUUCCCUGGCAAUACUCAUUGUCUUAAUGAUUGGCUUUCUGUGAGGGGAGCAACAGGACCUAGACUGAAUCUUGGGUGUUUUGGUAACAUCUGUAAGACCGAAAAUGUAACCACACCUAAACAGACCCUUUUUCAAGAUAAUGACUGACUCUCUCCAAGGAUCAUUUAAAUUCCAAAGAGAACUACCUACAAGUUAAUUUCUGUUCCCUGAUCCAGUCAUUCUCCCUAGCAAUCAUUUAUUACCCCUCAUCUAAUCUAAUCCCAAACCCUAAAUCUAAUAAAAUACUUCUAAAAUCUGCACCCCUAAUGCCCUCCCACACUCAACCAUUCCACUUACUUUGUAAUUUAGAGAGGCCUAAAUUUUGUUAAAAUAGAGGCACAGCUAAUAGAUGUUUGUUACACUUACUUUCUUUCCCUUUGACAUUUUCAUCUACCAGGCAUGAUUACGUAACAUAGUCCUUUUUUUUUU